AAACAACUCUCAAAGGUGGACGCCUCGACGUUUUACGGUGGCGCACGUAAGUGGCUCUCACUUUUCAAGCUUUUGCAAUGUUCCAUUCAAGGUGGCAUGAAACUCUGCAUCUGUCAGUAAGAGCUAAGACAUACCGCAUGCCAAUAAACGAGACUUUUGCAACAGGAAACUAUUUAUAACGUCAAAAAGGGUGCGUAAAAUACCGCGUCCGCGAUCGUGCACAUUGCGCCUUAGUGCCACCUUUGUUGUGGGGCAGCCAUUUUGCACCAUGCGCGCAGACAUGAUGGUUAUGUGUAAAUUUUUUGUCUGCAGGACUUUAAGAUCAUGCAUCAAAACGUCAGAAAGUUGAUGAUGCGACAGAAGAAGAAAUCCUCAUGAGAAUAUCAAACGGAGAUAUCUCAGAUGACGACUUUUCAGAUGACGAAAUGGAAGAAGGAAAUGAAGAAAACCUACCUGCCAAUGGUCAGGUGAACGCAUCCAUGGCCACAGCUGCACUGCCUGCACGACCAGAUGCCACGGUCAUUACCUCGAACAAGCCUGCGGCAUCCAAGAAGGCCGAGUUCAAAUGGGUGAACAAAGAUUUUGCUCCAAGUGAUGUUGACUGCCACUACAAUACUGAAGUAGCGUCGACAUGCCAGCAGCCACUUGUGUAUUUUAGCAAGUAUUUCACCGAACAGAUAUUUGAAGACCUUGCUGAAUUCACAAAUAGGUAUGCCCGACAAAGAGACUGUGCCGUAUUAGCCACAAGGAAAGAAGAGAUCAAAAUAUUUUUUAGGGGUGUUCUGAAAUACCCACGCGUCAGAAUGUAUUGGCAAACUGCAACGAGGACUCCCGCAAUAGCCGAUUCGAUGGGCGUGAAGCGAUUCUUCAAAAUCAGAGGCGCUCUCCACCUAACCGACGCUAAUGAAGAAUGGGACCCAAACAGCCAAGACAAAUUUUGGAAAGUUAGGCCGUUGCUAGAAGCUGUCAGACGCCGUUGCUUACAGCUUGUUCCCUUGGAACAGAAUAGCAUCGAUGAACAGAUGGUGCCGUUCACAGGACGCAUUGCUGCAAAGCAAUUUGUGAAGGAAAAACCAAACCCAGAAGGCGUGAAGGUCUUGUAAGAUGCAGUUUUGACGAUCUUGCACAUGACUGAGUUUUACCAAGGGAAGGGAACCGGAGUGAGCAAAGAACAUGCCCAUCUUGGCCUUGGUGGCUCCAUCGUAAUGUGCCUUGUUGAAAGCCUCCUGAAGGCACAGAACAUCAAGUGCUACAUGGACAAUUAUUUUUACAUCCGUGAAGCUCUUUCUUGAGUUAAAAGAGAUUGGCAUUUUGGCUAGUGGCACAAUUAGAGGAAACCGCUGCUAGGCAGGAUGCGUCAUGAAAACAGAAAAGGAAAUGAAGAAAGAAGGAUGGGGAAGCUAUGAUGAACUGUUUCCCAGAACGACUCAGUUGUCCUUUUUCGUUGGCAAGACAACGGGAUCGUUAACAUGGCUUCCACCCACCUAGGAGUUGGAAAUAUUGGCACCGUGAGAAGAUGGAGCGAAGCUAAAAAGGUCCACGUUGACACUGACUGUCCAGAUGUAGUCCUGGACUACAAAAAAUACAUGGGUGUAGUGGACAAACUGGACUUCAUCAUGUCCCUCUACCCAAUGCGGACGCAAACGAAAAAGUGGCCAGUGAGAGUGAUAUUCCUUUUUUCUUCGUUUGCCCUCUGCAACAGUUGGCUUGAGUACUUAACGGAUGCCAAUAAAGAAGGGCUAAAAAGAGAUACUGGACAUGAUGACGUUCCAAACAGACGUCGCAAAUUGCCUGCUGAACAGCAAUAAGCCACAAAAGAAGUGUGGACGUCCGAGCAAUGAGAACUCCCAAGCAGUGAAAAAGAAGGCUCCCAAUGCUUCACCACUACCAGUCAGCACUGUUCGUUAUGAUGGGAUCAAUCAUUGGCCGCAGCAAGUAAACAUGACUAACGCACAACGCUGCCGGAAAGAGGAAUGCACAUCCAAAAGCCAUGUCCGCUGCAGGAAAUGCAACAUUUUUCUUUAAUAUCUCAGAACGACUCUUUAUUUAUUUCAUACCAAAUGACUAUUUCUGAUUAUUUUUACGGAAAAGACUUCCUAAAUAGUGUUCCUGCAAUGAUUAUUUGCGAGCCUCUGAAAUAAAAGCAUUUGUUUUCUUCUUCA